rnacentral:rRNA from 1 species
CCUACGGGUGGCAGCAGUCGAGAAUCAUUCACAAUGGGGGAAACCCUGAUGGUGCGACGCCGCGUGGGGGAAUGAAGGUCUUCGGAUUGUAACCCCUGUCAUGUGGGAGCAAAUUAAAAGGAUAGUACCACAAGAGGAAGAGACGGCUAACUCUGUGCCAGCAGCCGCGGUAAUACAGAGGUCUCAAGCGUUGUUCGGAAUCACUGGGCGUAAAGCGUGCGUAGGCUGUUGCGUAAGUCGUGUGUGAAAGGCGCGGGCUCAACCCGCGGACGGCACAUGAUACUGCGAGACUAGAGUAAGGGAGGGGGAAGCGGAAUUCUCGGUGUAGCAGUGAAAUGCGUAGAUAUCGAGAGGAACACUCGUGGCGAAGGCGGGUUCCUGGACAUUAACUGACGUUGAGGCACGAAGGCCAGGGGAGCGAAAGGGAUUAGAUACCCUUGUAGUC